GCUGCGGCCGAGCGAACGAGAGACCGCCUGAAGAGCGCUCACUCGGCGGCAACCACAGCCCGGCGUCCCCGCAGGCUGGUCUCUGAGGGAGGUAUCACUGUUCAGCGUGACAAAGGAGACGACGUUUCCAAGCUGAAGGACUACAAGCUACCUGGGCAUGUUCUACUCACCAAUCUGUGCAGAAUGUCCCCUUCUGGCCAUAUUCUUUGACCUGACUGCUUCCUUUAUCCGGUCUACUUCUUGCUGAUAGCGUUUUCGGUCUCGAGAUGCAUUCUCUUUGGCUUCCUUCAGGGCCGACUCCAGAGCCUUCACUCUCUCUGCAGUAGCUCUAAGCCGUUUCUCUAACUUAGGAAGCUCACAGCGCAGAUCUGCAUUAUCACGAACCAACUAAA